rnacentral:misc_RNA from 1 species
UAGCCUGACCGCAAGUACUGA